rnacentral:rRNA from 1 species
GCAAGUCGAACGAGAACGGGGUUAGUUUACUUACCUUUCAGCUAAGUGGCGCACGGGUGAGUAAUAUAUAGUUAACCUGCCCCAAAGAAGCGAAUAAUUGUUGGAAACGACUUUUAAUGCUCUACAUGCCUCUAUUCCAUAAGUAAGCGAGGGAAACAUUUAUUGCUUUGGGAUGGGCCUGUGUGGUAUCAGCUUGUUGGUGAGGUAAUGGCUCACCAAGGCUAUGACGCCUAGCUGGUUUGAGAGGAUGAUC